GCAGGGUGGAUAACCAUUCGUUUGAUGGAUCAUGUUGACAAAGCUCCAAGUCGAAAAAUUGGUUAUUCAUACAGCUUAGCUGAUUACCACGCUUUCUGGAGUCAUCAGAUGGUGAUGGCUUCAUGUUUGUUAUGAGCUUAAUGAAGCCUGUUCUUUUGAGUCUUUUCAGAUUGGUCUAGAGUUGAGCCUUGUGGUCCUCUGACCAGAAAUGUGACUUGUUAAGGUCAGAUUGUUGUAUACUUUGUCUUUCAGUUAUCUAAUUAUUUUUUUGUUCCAUGGUUGCUAAAUAUUCUUGUAUAGUCUGAAUGCUUUUCAUACUUGGUUUUCAAAGCUGACCAUGAAUUUGAUAUUGAAGUGCGAGUGAUCUAGGGGCGCUCCAUCAACUGUUGGUUGAUCAACCUAAUAUUCCCAAAGAGGAAGUGAAGUCCAUUUUUGAUAUCAUAUUGGCUGAAGAAAUCUGUUGAACUUUAUGCCAUGUCCAAUUCCUUGCCAGUUUGGGGUUUUUGACUGCUAGGAAGCUUAGCAUUCUGUUUGAUUUUAAUUGCUUAUCGGGCGCAUCAGUUGAAUUGAAGUCCAUCGUUCAGGAAACAUACUGCAUGUUAAUAACAGUAUAACAGCAGGAGCAAACUCUAGAAAUUCCUUGGCUGUAACAGGAUUCAUUUCUUCUGUAUUUAGAGAAAAAUGGAUCAAAUGGUUUUGAUGCUUUUAUUGGGAUGAUUUUU